rnacentral:rRNA from 1 species
AUACGGAGGAUGCGAGCGUUAUCCGGAUUUAUUGGGUUUAAAGGGUGCGUAGGCUGUGCGUUAAGUCAGGGGUGAAAUGCCGUCGCUCAACGACGGAGCUGCCCUUGAUACUGGCGUGCUGGAGUACGGAUGCCGUUGGAGGAAUGAGUGGUGUAGCGGUGAAAUGCUUAGAUAUCACUCAGAACACCGAUUGCGAAGGCAUCGGACGAAUCCGUCACUGACGCUGAGGCACGAAAGCGUGGGGAUAGAACAGGAUUAGAUACCCUGGUAUUCCACGCCGUAAACGAUGAUGACUAACCGUCGGCGAUAGACAGCCGGUGGCCAAGCGAAAGCGAUAAGUCAUCCACCUGGGGAGUACGUCGGCAACGAUGAAACUUAAAGGAAUUGACGGGG